rnacentral:tRNA from 1 species
GGCUGGAGAGGGCUCAGCGGUUAAGAGUACUGACUACUUUUCCGGAGGUCCUGAGUUCAAAUCCCAGCAACCA